GUGGACAUGGAACAGUAGCUGACAGAAGCUCUAAACAAAUGAGAUUCCUAGGGAGGGGUCCUCAAGGUCUUUUGGAAGAAGAUGACAGUAUGCCCAGCAACCCUCUGAAAUACUAAGGAAGGUGUUGGUUUAUGUCUGGUAGCAUAGGCGGAAGCCACAUGAUUUACUUUGACCACUAAAGGAAAUAAUGACUUCAACAGGGUGGGAGAUGUGUGGAGCAACCUCCAGUCCACUGCUUCUCCAUGAGAUGACAUUGAUGAGAUGAGGAUCUACUACAUCUUGAAUGAAGGCAGCAAGGCAACUAAAGACAUCUUCUACUUCUCUGCUGAAGACAAUGCUGUGCCUUCUUCGACCAGUGCCAUUCCUAGUACAGAGUCACGCAAUCCUGGGCCUGCUGUUUAUGCAUCACAAUGAGGUUUGUUGAUGUUUUAAAACAGUUUUUCUCUGGAGUCACUG
rnacentral:lncRNA from 1 species